UACAGAGGGUGCGAGCGUUGUUCGGAAUUAUUGGGCGUAAAGCGCGUGUAGGCGGCCAAUUAAGUCGGGUGUGAAAGCCCUCAGCUCAACUGAGGAAGUGCGCCCGAGACUGGAUGGCUUGAGUGCUGGAGAGGGUGGCGGAAUUCCCCAAGUAGAGGUGAAAUUCGUAGAGAUGGGGAGGAACACCGGAGGCGAAGGCGGCCACCUGGACAGUAACUGACGCUGAGACGCGAAAGCGUGGGGAGCAAACAGG
rnacentral:rRNA from 1 species